CUAGCGAUAAAGGGAGUGAAAGACUCCCUCGCCGAAAACCCAAGGUUUCCUGUGCAACGCUAAUCGGCGCAGGGUGAGUCGGCCCCUAAGGUGAGGCAGAAAUGCGUAACUGAUGGGAAACUGGUUAAAAUUCCAGUACCUUUGUCCAAUGCGAUGUGGGGACGGAGAAGGUUAGCUCAGCCGGGUGUUGGAUGUCCCGGUUCAAGCGCGUAGACGUGUUGUUUAGGUAAAUCCGAGCGACUUAGUUGAGACGUGAUAACGCAACACUCUUCGGAGUGCCAAGUGAGUGAUACCAUGCUUCCAGGAAAAGCCACUAAGCCUCAGUUGGAUGAAGACCGUACCGUAAACCGACACAGGUGGGUAGGAUGAGAAUUCUAAGGCGCUUGAGAGAACUCAGGAGAAGGAACUCGGCAAAAUAGCACCGUAACUUCGGGAAAAGGUGUGCCCUUUGUAUGUGUAGCGCCUCGCGCGUGAAGCAGAAUAGGGUUGCAAUGAAUUGGUGGCUGCGACUGUUUAAUAAAAACAUAGCACUCUGCAAACACGAAAGUGGACGUAUAGAGUGUGACGCCUGCCCGGUGCCGGAAGGUUAAAUGAUGGGGUGCAAGCUCUUGAUUGAAGCCCCGGUAAACGGCGGCCGUAACUAUAACGGUCCUAAGGUAGCGAAAUUCCUUGUCGGGUAAGUUCCGACCUGCACGAAUGGCGUAACGAUGGCCACACUGUCUCCUCCUGGGACUCAGCGAAGUUGAAAUGUUUGUGAAGAUGCAAUCUCCCCGCGGCUAGACGGAAAGACCCCGUGCACCUUUACUGUAGCUUUACAUUGGACUUUGAUAACAUUUGUGUAGGAUAGGUGGGAGGCUUUGAAGUGGAUUCGCUAGAAUUCAUGGAGCCGACGUUGAAAUACCACCCUGAUGUUGUCGGGGUUCUAACCUAGAUCCAUUAUCUGGAUUGGGGACCGUGUAUGGUAGGCAGUUUGACUGGGGCGGUCUCCUCCCAAAUUGUAACGGAGGAGUACGAAGGUACGCUAGGUACGGUCGGAAAUCGUGCUGAUAGUGCAAUGGCAAAAGCGUGCUUAACUGCGAGACUGACAAGUCGAGCAGAUGCGAAAGCAGGUCAUAGUGAUCCGGUGGUUCUGUAUGGAAGGGCCAUCGCUCAACGGAUAAAAGGUACGCCGGGGAUAACAGGCUGAUUCCUCCCAAGAGUUCAUAUCGACGGGGGAGUUUUGGCACCUCGAUGUCGGCUCAUCACAUCCUGGGGCUGUAGCCGGUCCCAAGGGUAUGGCUGUUCGCCAUUUAAAGUGGUACGUGAGCUGGGUUUAAAACGUCGUGAGACAGUUUGGUCCCUAUCUGCCGUGGGCGUUGGAAGUUUGAGUGGACCUGCUCCUAGUACGAGAGGACCGGAGUGGACGCACCUCUGGUGUACCGGUUAUGACGCCAGUCGUAUCGCCGGGUAGCUAUGUGCGGAAGAGAUAACCGCUGAAAGCAUCUAAGCGGGAAACUCUCCUCAAGAUGAGACUUCCCGAGGGUUUAACCCUCCUAAAGGUUCGUCGAAGACUACGACGUUGAUAGGUCGGGUGUGGAAGCAUAGUAAUAU
rnacentral:rRNA from 1 species